GGUUAAGCGACUAAGCGUACACGGUGGAUGCCCUGGCAGUCAGAGGCGAUGAAGGACGUGCUAAUCUGCGAUAAGCGUCGGUAAGGUGAUAUGAACCGUUAUAACCGGCGAUUUCCGAAUGGGGAAACCCAGUGUGUUUCGACACACUAUCAUUAACUGAAUCCAUAGGUUAAUGAGGCGAACCGGGGGAACUGAAACAUCUAAGUACCCCGAGGAAAAGAAAUCAACCGAGAUUCCCCCAGUAGCGGCGAGCGAACGGGGAGCAGCCCAGAGCCUGAAUCAGUGUGUGUGUUAGUGGAAGCGUCUGGAAAGGCGCGCGAUACAGGGUGACAGCCCCGUACACAAAAAUGCACAUGCUGUGAGCUCGAUGAGUAGGGCGGGACACGUGGUAUCCUGUCUGAAUAUGGGGGGACCAUCCUCCAAGGCUAAAUACUCCUGACUGACCGAUAGUGAACCAGUACCGUGAGGGAAAGGCGAAAAGAACCCCGGCGAGGGGAGUGAAAAAGAACCUGAAACCGUGUACGUACAAGCAGUGGGAGCACGCUUAGGCGUGUGACUGCGUACCUUUUGUAUAAUGGGUCAGCGACUUAUAUUCUGUAGCAAGGUUAACCGAAUAGGGGAGCCGAAGGGAAACCGAGUCUUAACUGGGCGUUAAGUUGCAGGGUAUAGACCCGAAACCCGGUGAUCUAGCCAUGGGCAGGUUGAAGGUUGGGUAACACUAACUGGAGGACCGAACCGACUAAUGUUGAAAAAUUAGCGGAUGACUUGUGGCUGGGGGUGAAAGGCCAAUCAAACCGGGAGAUAGCUGGUUCUCCCCGAAAGCUAUUUAGGUAGCGCCUCGUGAAUUCAUCUCCGGGGGUAGAGCACUGUUUCGGCAAGGGGGUCAUCCCGACUUACCAACCCGAUGCAAACUGCGAAUACCGGAGAAUGUUAUCACGGGAGACACACGGCGGGUGCUAACGUCCGUCGUGAAGAGGGAAACAACCCAGACCGCCAGCUAAGGUCCCAAAGUCAUGGUUAAGUGGGAAACGAUGUGGGAAGGCCCAGACAGCCAGGAUGUUGGCUUAGAAGCAGCCAUCAUUUAAAGAAAGCGUAAUAGCUCACUGGUCGAGUCGGCCUGCGCGGAAGAUGUAACGGGGCUAAACCAUGCACCGAAGCUGCGGCAGCGACGCUUAUGCGUUGUUGGGUAGGGGAGCGUUCUGUAAGCCUGCGAAGGUGUGCUGUGAGGCAUGCUGGAGGUAUCAGAAGUGCGAAUGCUGACAUAAGUAACGAUAAAGCGGGUGAAAAGCCCGCUCGCCGGAAGACCAAGGGUUCCUGUCCAACGUUAAUCGGGGCAGGGUGAGUCGACCCCUAAGGCGAGGCCGAAAGGCGUAGUCGAUGGGAAACAGGUUAAUAUUCCUGUACUUGGUGUUACUGCGAAGGGGGGACGGAGAAGGCUAUGUUGGCCGGGCGACGGUUGUCCCGGUUUAAGCGUGUAGGCUGGUUUUCCAGGCAAAUCCGGAAAAUCAAGGCUGAGGCGUGAUGACGAGGCACUACGGUGCUGAAGCAACAAAUGCCCUGCUUCCAGGAAAAGCCUCUAAGCAUCAGGUAACAUCAAAUCGUACCCCAAACCGACACAGGUGGUCAGGUAGAGAAUACCAAGGCGCUUGAGAGAACUCGGGUGAAGGAACUAGGCAAAAUGGUGCCGUAACUUCGGGAGAAGGCACGCUGAUAUGUAGGUGAAGUCCCUCGCGGAUGGAGCUGAAAUCAGUCGAAGAUACCAGCUGGCUGCAACUGUUUAUUAAAAACACAGCACUGUGCAAACACGAAAGUGGACGUAUACGGUGUGACGCCUGCCCGGUGCCGGAAGGUUAAUUGAUGGGGUUAGCCGCAAGGCGAAGCUCUUGAUCGAAGCCCCGGUAAACGGCGGCCGUAACUAUAACGGUCCUAAGGUAGCGAAAUUCCUUGUCGGGUAAGUUCCGACCUGCACGAAUGGCGUAAUGAUGGCCAGGCUGUCUCCACCCGAGACUCAGUGAAAUUGAACUCGCUGUGAAGAUGCAGUGUACCCGCGGCAAGACGGAAAGACCCCGUGAACCUUUACUAUAGCUUGACACUGAACAUUGAGCCUUGAUGUGUAGGAUAGGUGGGAGGCUUAGAAGUGUGGACGCCAGUCUGCAUGGAGCCGACCUUGAAAUACCACCCUUUAAUGUUUGAUGUUCUAACGUGGACCCGUAAUCCGGGUUGCGGACAGUGUCUGGUGGGUAGUUUGACUGGGGCGGUCUCCUCCUAAAGAGUAACGGAGGAGCACGAAGGUUGGCUAAUCCUGGUCGGACAUCAGGAGGUUAGUGCAAUGGCAUAAGCCAGCUUGACUGCGAGCGUGACGGCGCGAGCAGGUGCGAAAGCAGGUCAUAGUGAUCCGGUGGUUCUGAAUGGAAGGGCCAUCGCUCAACGGAUAAAAGGUACUCCGGGGAUAACAGGCUGAUACCGCCCAAGAGUUCAUAUCGACGGCGGUGUUUGGCACCUCGAUGUCGGCUCAUCACAUCCUGGGGCUGAAGUAGGUCCCAAGGGUAUGGCUGUUCGCCAUUUAAAGUGGUACGCGAGCUGGGUUUAGAACGUCGUGAGACAGUUCGGUCCCUAUCUGCCGUGGGCGCUGGAGAACUGAGGGGGGCUGCUCCUAGUACGAGAGGACCGGAGUGGACGCAUCACUGGUGUUCGGGUUGUCAUGCCAAUGGCACUGCCCGGUAGCUAAAUGCGGAAGAGAUAAGUGCUGAAAGCAUCUAAGCACGAAACUUGCCCCGAGAUGAGUUCUCCCUGACCCUUUAAGGGUCCUGAAGGAACGUUGAAGACGACGACGUUGAUAGGCCGGGUGUGUAAGCGCAGCGAUGCGUUGAGCUAACCGGUACUAAUGAACCGUGAGGCUUAACCUU
rnacentral:rRNA from 1 species